UCUUACUCAUUUUCCAACUAGGGUUUCUAUUUUUCUAUUUUUCUUUCUAUUUCUAACUAGGGUUUGCAGUUGUUAUUUCCUUCCUAUUUGAGACUAGAAAGCAAUAAUGGUGAUGAACAUCACCUGACGAAUUGAUUCAAAGCCCAUUUAAAAAAUAUGGCAUGUAGUUGGAAGGCAAACGCAGAACUCUCCAAGCCAUAGCAUGGACUUAAUAGGAAGCUAUGAUGGUCCAGAGUAGUGCAAGUG
rnacentral:lncRNA from 1 species